rnacentral:rRNA from 1 species
UACGGAGGGGGCUAGCGUUGUUCGGAAUUACUGGGCGUAAAGCGCGCGUAGGCGGAUUGAAAAGUCAGAGGUGAAAUCCCAGGGCUCAACCUUGGAACUGCCUUUGAAACUAUCGGUCUGGAGUUCGAGAGAGGUGAGUGGAAUUCCGAGUGUAGAGGUGAAAUUCGUAGAUAUUCGGAGGAACACCAGUGGCGAAGGCGGCUCACUGGCUCGAUACUGACGCUGAGGUGCGAAAGCGUGGGGAGCAAACAGG